UCACGCUGUAUGAAAUCACACUUUGCUGAGUAUAUACUUUGUUCUCAAAACAUGAUGAAAGGCAUUUCUUGAUGAAACUUCACCCUCUAUUCCAGGAGAAGAAGAGCAUCAUUUCAAUCACGGUGGAAACACAGAUUCAGGAUUAAUAGCUGGAGUUACCUCUCCUAUAAUUUCUGCUUUUGUGAUAUUAGUUGUUGGAUCAAUAGCUGCCUACACAGCUUACAAGAACAACAAACUUUGUUUCAAACCACGUGGUGGGGCUACAGUGUAAGCUGCAGAAAUGAAAACUGUCCGCUGAUGACAGACUCCUUCAGUUGGCGACAUUCAGCCCACAGAUCUGACUUUUUUUUUCUGCUUUAUAAUUCUGACAAAAAUAUCUUCCUCUGAUGAGCGUUUUGUUAAGACAUUGCAAUACUGUUCUCUUUGACCUGAUGUUACUCUUACACCUUGAGCUUUACAUCAUCAAAGAUGUACUUAAAAUGUCCAGGAAUAGUAUUGCACUAUCUGAUGUGUAUUCAUAAAUGCUGGAUAAAUAUUUUGAUUCAGAAGUUAUUUUAAAUAACACAGAUAUCAAGUAUACGAGCUUAAAAUUUAAUUUAAAGGUUUUGGCUUUGAACAUUUGAGUCAUGAACAUUUUUUUUCUAAAUUAGCCAAAAUACUUAAUCUUUCUGAUAGAACAGAAAUAAGGAAAUUGCCAUUUCCAUUCAUACAUUUUGGAUUUCUUCAGCAUAUUUCUGUAUUGUCUGUAAUGUUUAAGGAAAACUUAAAGUAGUAUAAAGGAUUAAGAAUUUUCAUGCCUUUAUUUUGUAUCUUAUGUCUGAAUUCUUGCAAAGUAGAAAGAGCUAUAGAUGGAAAAUUCAUUCUUAAUUUUGAAAUACAUCAUGAAAAGAAAAAUACAUUGAUGAACCACUGUUUAAAAUAACAAAAAUGAUAGGAAAACAAGUUGAUUUUAUUUAUUUAUUUAUUAUUGAAAUGGUACUUAGCUCUUCUCAGGA
rnacentral:lncRNA from 1 species